rnacentral:tRNA from 1 species
GCUCUGAAAGCUAAAAAACAGCAAUUAAUCUUGUAAAUUAAAUAAUUUAGGUGAAAACCCUUUUCAGAGCU